GUGCCAGCAGCCGCGGUAAUACGGAAGGUCCGGGCGUUAUCCGGAUUUAUUGGGUUUAAAGGGAGCGCAGACGGCCUGUUAAGCGUGCAGUGAAAUGUGGGUGCUCAACAUCUGCACUGCUGCGUGAACUGGCGGGCUUGAGUUGUCUGGAGGUGCGCGGAAUUCGUGGUGUAGCGGUGAAAUGCUUAGAUAUCACGAGGAACCCCGAUUGCGAAGGCAGCGCACCGUUGGCACUGACGUUGAGGCUCGAAGGUGCGGGUAUCGAACAGGAUUAGAUACCCUGGUAGUCCGCACGGUAAACGAUGGAUGCCCGCUGUCGGCGAUACACUGCCGGCGGCCAAGCGAAAGCGUUAAGCAUCCCACCUGGGGAGUACGCCGGCAACGGUGAAACUCAAAGGAAUUGACGGGGGCCCGCACAAGCGGAGGAACAUGUGGUUUAAUUCGAUGAUACGCGAGGAACCUUACCCGGGCUUGAACUGCACAGGAAGGAUACAGAGAUGUUGACGCCCUUCGGGGCCUGUGCGGAGGUGCUGCAUGGUUGUCGUCAGCUCGUGCCGUGAGGUGUCGGCUUAAGUGCCAUAACGAGCGCAACCCCUGUCCUCAGUUGCCAUCGGGUCAUGCCGGGCACUCUGUGGAGACUGCCACCGCAAGGUGCGAGGAAGGUGGGGAUGACGUCAAAUCAGCACGGCCCUUACGUCCGGGGCUACACACGUGUUACAAUGGGUGGUACAGAGAGUCGGUCCAGUGCAAACUGGGUCUAAUCAUCAAAGCCAUCCUCAGUUCGGACCGGGGUCUGCAACCCGACCCCGCGAAGCUGGAUUCGCUAGUAAUCGCGCAUCAGCCAUGGCGCGGUGAAUACGUUCCCGGGCCUUGUACACACCGCCCGU
rnacentral:rRNA from 1 species